rnacentral:tRNA from 1 species
AAAGGAUUAGUUAAAACAUAACAUCAGAAUGUCAAAUUGAAAUAGCUUAACAAAGCAUCCUUUU